UACCAGCACCCCGAGUGGUCGGGACGUUUAUUGGGCCUAAAGCAUCCGUAGCCGGUUCUACAAGUCUUCCGUUAAAUCCAACUGCUUAACAGGUGGGCUGCGGAAGAUACUAUAGCGCUAGGAGGCGGGAGAGGCAAGCGGUACUCGAUGGGUAGGGGUAAAAUCCGUUGAUCCAUUGAAGACCACCAGUGGCGAAGGCGGCUUGCCAGAACGCGCUCGACGGUGAGGGAUGAAAGCUGGGGGAGCAAACCGG
rnacentral:rRNA from 1 species